rnacentral:sRNA from 2 species
AUGUACCCCCUUUGUACACGGCGGUUCCUGCGCGCUGUCCGCGCCCCCCCGACAGCGACUCGCGACGUUUUGUUGGCC